CCUACGGGAGGCAGCAGUGAGGAAUAUUGGUCAAUGGCCGGAAGCCUGAACCAGCCAAGCCGCGUGCAGGACGAAGGUGCCACGCAUUGUAAACUUCUUUUGUCAGGGGACAAAAUCAGGCUCGAGAGCCUGACCGCGGGUACUUUAAGAAAAAGCAUCGGCUAACUCCGUGCCAGCAGCCGCGGUAAUACGGAGGAUGCGAGCGUUAUCCGGAUUUAUUGGGUUUAAAGGGUGCGUAGGCGGACUGUUAAGUCAGCGGUAAAAGCCCGGGGCUGAACCGCGCCGAGCCGUUGAAACUGGGUGUCUUGAGAUGUCGAGAGGUAUGCGGAAUGCGCGGUGUAGCGGUGAAAUGCUUAGAUAUCGCGCAGAACCCCGAUUGCGAAGGCAGCAUACCGGCGUCGAUCUGACGCUGAGGCACGAAAGCGUGGGUAUCGAACAGGAUUAGAUACCCUAGUAGUC
rnacentral:rRNA from 1 species